rnacentral:tRNA from 1 species
GCCUUCGUAGUGUAAUAGUCAGCACACUUGCCUUGUAUUCCAUAGGUCCGAGAUUCGAGUCUCGGCGAGAGCA